GUUUUGGGAAUUGGCCACUACCUCGCAGUCACGUGAUGAGAGAGAUGCAAGAGGACUUUGUAUGCCAUUUGCAUUUAAUAUUUCAUAGUUCAUGUGAUGUGACGUAGUGGAACAUUCCUGAGC
rnacentral:pre_miRNA from 1 species